rnacentral:rRNA from 1 species
GACGGAGGGUGCAAGCGUUGUUCGGAAUUACUGGGCGUAAAGCGUACGUAGGCGGCGGGUUAAGUCGAAUGUUAAAGCCUGGGGCUCAACCCCAGAGAUGCACUCGAUACUGGCCUGCUAGAGGGCGAUAGAGGAAAGCGGAAUUCCCAGUGUAGCGGUGAAAUUCGUAGAUAUCAGGUGGAACACCAGUGGCGAAGGCGGCUUUCUGGACGGUAACUGACGCUGAGACGCGAAAGCGUGGGGAGCAAACAGG